rnacentral:tRNA from 1 species
GCGGUAGUAGUAUAGUGGUUAGUAUACGGCCUUGCCAAGGCUGUGACCGGGGUUCGACUCCCCGCUACCGCA